rnacentral:rRNA from 1 species
AUUGAACGCUGGCGGCAGGCCUAACACAUGCAAGUCGAGCGGAUGAGUGGAGCUUGCUCCAUGAUUCAGCGGCGGACGGGUGAGUAAUGCCUAGGAAUCUGCCUGGUAGUGGGGGACAACGUUUCGAAAGGAACGCUAAUACCGCAUACGUCCUACGGGAGAACGUGGGGGAUCUUCGGACCUCUCGCUAUCCGAUGAGCCUAGGUCGGAUUAAGUAGGUGGUGAGGUAAAGGCUCACCAAGGCGACGAUCCGUAACUGGUCUGAGAGGAUGGUCAGUCACACUGGAACUGAGACACGGUCCAGACCCCUACGGGAGGCAGCAGUGGGGAAUAUUGGACAAUGGGCGAAAGCCUGAUCCAGCCAUGCCGCGUGUGUGAAGAAGGUCUUCGGAUUGUAAAGCACUUUAAGUUGGGAGGAAGGGCAGUAAGUUAAUACCUUGCUGUUUUGACGUUACCAACAGAAUAAGCACCGGCUAACUUCGUGCCAGCAGCCGCCGUAAAAC